ensembl:snRNA U6 U6 spliceosomal RNA
GUGUUGCUUCAGCAGCAUACAUACUAAAAUUAGAAUGAAAAGAGAAGAUGAGCAUGGCCCCUGUGUAAGAAUGAAAUGCACAUUCAUGAAGCAUUCCAUAUUUUC